rnacentral:rRNA from 1 species
GACGAACGCUGGCGGCGCGCUUAACACAUGCAAGUGGAACGGAAAGGCCUGCUUUCCCUUGUGGAUUGCGGGUACUCGAGUGGCGAACGGGUGAGUAACACGUGAGUGAUCUGCCCCCAACUUGGGUAUAAGCCUGGGAAACUGGGUCUAAUUCCCGAUAGGACUGCAGGGUGGUGCCUGUGGUGGAAAACGAUUUUCUAGUGGUUGGGGAUGAGCUCGCGGCCUAUCAGCUUGUUGGUGGGGUAAUGGCCUACCAAGGCGGCGACGGGUAGCCGGCCUGAGAGGGUGGACGGCCACAUUGGGACUGAGAUACGGCCCAGACUCCUACGGGAGGCAGCAGUGGGGAAUAUUGCACAAUGGGCGGAAGCCUGAUGCAGCGACGCCGCGUGGGGGAUGACGGCCUUCGGGUUGUAAACUCCUUUCGACCGCGAGGAAGCCACCUGGUUGGAAGGGUGGUGACGGUAGUGGUAGAAGAAGCACCGGCUAACUACGUG